UACGUAGGGUGCGAGCGUUGUCCGGAAUUACUGGGCGUAAAGAGCUCGUAGGUGGUUUGUCGCGUUGUUCGUGAAAUUCCCUGGCUUAACUGGGGGCGUGCGGGCGAUACGGGCAGACUGGAGUACUGCAGGGGAGACUGGAAUUCCUGGUGUAGCGGUGAAAUGCGCAGAUAUCAGGAGGAACACCGGUGGCGAAGGCGGGUCUCUGGGCCGAUACUGACGCUGAGGAGCGAAAGCAUGGGGAGCGAACAGG
rnacentral:rRNA from 1 species